rnacentral:rRNA from 1 species
CAGCAGCCGCGGUAAUACGAAGGGUGCAAGCGUUACUCGGAAUUACUGGGCGUAAAGCGUGCGUAGGUGGUGGUUUAAGUCCGUUGUGAAAGCCCUGGGCUCAACCUGGGAAUUGCAGUGGAUACUGGGUCACUAGAGUGUGGUAGAGGAUAGUGGAAUUUCCGGUGUAGCAGUGAAAUGCGUAGAGAUCGGAAGGAACAUCUGUGGCGAGGGCGACUAUCUGGGCCAACACUGACACUGAGGCACGAAAGCGUGGGGAGCAAACAGGAUUAGAUACCCCGGUAGUCCCUGUUUCUUAUAC